ACUAAAUGAUUAAUAGUUAAGUUCUUUAAAAUUAAAAAAUUUGGCGGUAUUUUAGUCUAUUCAGAGGAACCUGUUCUGUAAUUGAUAGUCCACGAUUAUAAAUACUUUAGUUUUUAAUUUGCAUAUCGUUGUAGUUUCGAGUAUUUUAUAAGAAUUUAUAAUAUUCAAUAUGUUAAUAUUAAAAUUUAAAUCAAAUCAAGGUGCAGUUUAUAUUAAAGUAGAAAUGGGUUACAUUUAUUAAAUAAUUUAGGAUGAUUUUUGUUAAAGAAAUCUGAAUGUGGAUUUGAUAGUAAUUUUAUUUAUU
rnacentral:rRNA from 1 species